AUUGUAGGGUAAUGGAUAACGUGUUGGACUUGUAUUCCAAAGGUUGUGGGUUCGAAUCUCACCUGGGAUG